rnacentral:rRNA from 1 species
GAUGAACGCUGGCGGCGUGCCUAAUACAUGCAAGUCGAGCGAACAGACGAGGAGCUUGCUCCUCUGACGUUAGCGGCGGACGGGUGAGUAACACGUGGAUAACCUACCUAUAAGACUGGGAUAACUUCGGGAAACCGGAGCUAAUACCGGAUAAGAUAUUGAACCGCAUGGUUCAAUAGUGAAAGACGGUUUUGCUGUCACGUAUAGAUGGAUCCGCGCCGCAUUAGCUAGUUGGUAAGGUAACGGCUUACCAAGGCAACGAUGCGUAGCCGACCUGAGAGGGUGAUCGGCCACACUGGAACUGAGACACGGUCCAGACUCCUACGGGAGGCAGCAGUAGGGAAUCGUCCGCAAUGGGCGAAAGCCUGACGGAGCAACGCCGCGUGAGUGAUGAAGGUCUUCGGAUCGUAAAACUCUGUUAUUAGGGAAGAACAAAUGUGUAAGUAAAUAUGCACGUCUUGACGGUACCUAAUCAGAAAGCCACGGCUAACUACGUG